GACAGAGGGUGCAAACGUUGCUCGGAAUUACUGGGCGUAAAGCGCGUGUAGGCGGGCCUUCAAGUCGGACGUGAAAGCCCUGAGCUCAACUCAGGAACUGCAUCCGAAACUGAAGGCCUGGAGUAGUGGAGAGGGAAGCAGAAUUCCUGGUGUAGAGGUGAAAUUCGUAGAUAUCAGGAGGAACACCGGUGGCGAAGGCGGCUUCCUGGCCAUUCACUGACGCUG
rnacentral:rRNA from 1 species